CAGCAGCCACGGUAAUACGAAGGGGGCUAGCGUUGCUCGGAAUUACUGGGCGUAAAGGGCGCGUAGGCGGACAGUUCAGUCGGGGGUGAAAGCCCGGGGCUCAACCUCGGAAUUGCCUUCGAUACUGGCUGUCUUGAGUAUGAGAGAGGUGUGUGGAACUCCGAGUGUAGAGGUGAAAUUCGUAGAUAUUCGGAAGAACACCAGUGGCGAAGGCGACACACUGGCUCAUUACUGACGCUGAGGCGCGAAAGCGUGGGGAGCAAACAGGAUUAGAUACCCCUUAGUCCCUGUCUCUUAUACA
rnacentral:rRNA from 1 species